rnacentral:rRNA from 1 species
GAUGAACGCUGGCGGCGUGCCUAAUACAUGCAAGUCGAGCGAACGGACGAGAAGCUUGCUUUUCUGAUGUUAGCGGCGGACGGGUGAGUAACACGUGGAUAACCUACCUAUAAGACUGGGAUAACUUCGGGAAACCGGAGCUAAUACCGGAUAAUAUUUUGAACCGCAUGGUUCAAAAGUGAAAGACGGUCUUGCUGUCACUUAUAGAUGGAUCCGCGCUGCAUUAGCUAGUUGGUAAGGUAACGGCUUACCAAGGCAACGAUGCAUAGCCGACCUGAGAGGGUGAUCGGCCACACUGGAACUGAGACACGGUCCAGACUCCUACGGGAGGCAGCAGUAGGGAAUCUUCCGCAAUGGGCGAAAGCCUGACGGAGCAACGCCGCGUGAGUGAUGAAGGUCUUCGGAUCGUAAAACUCUGUUAUUAGGGAAGAACAUAUGUGUAGGUAAAUGUGCACAUCUUGACGGUACCUAAUCAGAAAGCCACGGCUAACUACGUG